rnacentral:rRNA from 1 species
CCUACGGGGCGCAGCAGUGGGGAAUAUUGCACAAUGGGCGCAAGCCUGAUGCAGCCAUGCCGCGUGUAUGAAGAAGGCCUUCGGGUUGUAAAGUACUUUCAGCGAGGAGGAAGGCGUUAAGGUUAAUAACCUUGGCGAUUGACGUUACUCGCAGAAGAAGCACCGGCUAACUCCGUGCCAGCAGCCGCGGUAAUACGGAGGGUGCAAGCGUUAAUCGGAAUUACCGGGCGUAAAGCGCACGCAGGCGGUCUGUCAAGUCGGAUGUGAAAUCCCCGGGCUCAACCUGGGAACUGCAUUCGAAACUGGCAGGCUAGAGUCUUGUAGAGGGGGGUAGAAUUCCAGGUGUAGCGGUGAAAUGCGUAGAGAUCUGGAGGAAUACCGGUGGCGAAGGCGGCCCCCUGGACAAUGACUGACGCUCAGGUGCGAAAGCGUGGGGAGCAAACAGGAUUAGAUACCCCCGUAGUC